CACGGAGUUAGCCGAUGCUUAUUCAUAGGGUACAUGCAAAUAUCCACACGUGGAUACCUUUAUUCCCCUAUAAAAGAAGUUUACAAACCAUAGAUCCUUCUUCCUUCACGCGACUUGGCUGGUUCAGCCUUACGGCCAUUGACCAAUAUUCCUCACUGCUGCCUCCCGUAGGAGUUUGGACCGUGUCUCAGUUCCAAUGUGGGGGACCUUCCUCUCAGAACCCCUAUCCAUCGUCGGUUUGGUGGGCCGUUACCCCGCCAACUGCCUAAUGGAACGCAUGCCUAUCUAUCAGCGAUGAAUCUUUAACAAUAACCCCAUGCGGGAUCCCUGUUUAUGGGGCAUUAAUCCGACUUUCGCCGGGUCUCGUUCCCCUCUGAUAGGCAAGUUGCAUACGCGUUACUCACCCGUGCCGCCGGUCCGCCACCAGGCAUUGCUGCCCGUGCCUCGCCCCUCGACUUGCAUGUGUUAGCCUGUCGCUAGGCUUCGACUCCGUGUACGCCGUAGGACUACGUAAACUCUUACCG
rnacentral:rRNA from 1 species